GAUGAACGCUGGCGGCGUGCCUAAUACAUGCAAGUCGAGCGAACGGACGAGAAGCUUGCUUCUCUGAUGUUAGCGGCGGACGGGUGAGUAACACGUGGAUAACCUACCUAUAAGACUGGGAUAACUUCGGGAAACCGGAGCUAAUACCGGAUAAUAUUUUGAACCGCAUGGUUCAAAAGUGAAAGACGGUCUUGCUGUCACUUAUAGAUGGAUCCGCGCUGCAUUAGCUAGUUGGUAAGGUAACGGCUUACCAAGGCAACGAUGCAUAGCCGACCUGAGAGGGUGAUCGGCCACACUGGAACUGAGACACGGUCCAGACUCCUACGGGAGGCAGCAGUAGGGAAUCUUCCGCAAUGGGCGAAAGCCUGACGGAGCAACGCCGCGUGAGUGAUGAAGGUCUUCGGAUCGUAAAACUCUGUUAUUAGGGAAGAACAUAUGUGUAAGUAACUGUGCACAUCUUGACGGUACCUAAUCAGAAAGCCACGGCUAACUACGUGCCAGCAGCCGCGGUAAUACGUAGGUGGCAAGCGUUAUCCGGAAUUAUUGGGCGUAAAGCGCGCGUAGGCGGUUUUUUAAGUCUGAUGUGAAAGCCCACGGCUCAACCGUGGAGGGUCAUUGGAAACUGGAAAACUUGAGUGCAGAAGAGGAAAGUGGAAUUCCAUGUGUAGCGGUGAAAUGCGCAGAGAUAUGGAGGAACACCAGUGGCGAAGGCGACUUUCUGGUCUGUAACUGACGCUGAUGUGCGAAAGCGUGGGGAUCAAACAGGAUUAGAUACCCUGGUAGUCCACGCCGUAAACGAUGAGUGCUAAGUGUUAGGGGGUUUCCGCCCCUUAGUGCUGCAGCUAACGCAUUAAGCACUCCGCCUGGGGAGUACGACCGCAAGGUUGAAACUCAAAGGAAUUGACGGGGACCCGCACAAGCGGUGGAGCAUGUGGUUUAAUUCGAAGCAACGCGAAGAACCUUACCAAAUCUUGACAUCCUUUGACAACUCUAGAGAUAGAGCCUUCCCCUUCGGGGGACAAAGUGACAGGUGGUGCAUGGUUGUCGUCAGCUCGUGUCGUGAGAUGUUGGGUUAAGUCCCGCAACGAGCGCAACCCUUAAGCUUAGUUGCCAUCAUUAAGUUGGGCACUCUAAGUUGACUGCCGGUGACAAACCGGAGGAAGGUGGGGAUGACGUCAAGUCAUCAUGCCCCUUAUGAUUUGGGCUACACACGUGCUACAAUGGACAAUACAAAGGGCAGCGAAACCGCGAGGUCAAGCAAAUCCCAUAAAGUUGUUCUCAGUUCGGAUUGUAGUCUGCAACUCGACUACAUGAAGCUGGAAUCGCUAGUAAUCGUAGAUCAGCAUGCUACGGUGAAUACGUUCCCGGGUCU
rnacentral:rRNA from 1 species